UGAGGAAUAUUGGUCAAUGGGGGCAACCCUGAACCAGCCAAGUCGCGUGAAGGAUGAAGGUCUUAUGGAUUGUAAACUUCUUUUACACGGGAAUAAAGCGGGGGACGUGUCCCUCUUUGCAUGUACCGUGUGAAUAAGGAUCGGCUAACUCCGUGCCAGCAGCCGCGGUAAUACGGAGGAUCCGAGCGUUAUCCGGAUUUAUUGGGUUUAAAGGGUGCGCAGGCGGGAUGUUAAGUCGGCGGUGAAAUUUUGCAGCUCAACUGUAAAAGUGCCUUCGAUACUGGCCUGCUUGAGUGUGGAUGAAGUAGGCGGAAUUUGUGGUGUAGCGGUGAAAUGCUUAGAUAUCACGAGGAACUCCGAUUGCGCAGGCAGCUUACUAAGCCACAACUGACGCUCAUGCACGGAGGCGUGGGGAUCAAACA
rnacentral:rRNA from 1 species